rnacentral:lncRNA from 1 species
CGGGUUAUGUUCUUCUCAUAUAUUUUAUGAUAGUAUGAUACUAAACUCCUAACGGGAGGGAUUGUGCCUGAUAUUCAUAUGAUGGAGACAUAAUCUGUCAAUCAGUUUAAUCGAGGUCUGGAGCUGGCAUGUCAGUAAACUGCUAGUAGUCUGUUGUUAUUUAUGUAUUAUUGUCAUUUUAUUUAUUUUCUUUUGUUACAUCUUCUGACAUCAGACUCGGACUUCUCUUGAACUGAAUUUUAAUGUGCGUAUUGUUAUGCAUUUACUUUUCUACAUUGGCUAGAGGUAUAGGGGAGGGUUGAGAUCUCAUAAACAUGUUUAACCCCGCCGCAAUUUUGC